rnacentral:rRNA from 1 species
CAGCAGCCGCGGUAAUACGUAGGUGGCAAGCGUUGUCCGGAAUUAUUGGGCGUAAAGGGCUCGCAGGCGGUUUCUUAAGUCUGAUGUGAAAGCCCCCGGCUCAACCGGGGAGGGUCAUUGGAAACUGGGAAACUUGAGUGCAGAAGAGGAGAGUGGAAUUCCACGUGUAGCGGUGAAAUGCGUAGAGAUGUGGAGGAACACCAGUGGCGAAGGCGACUCUCUGGUCCGUAACUGACGCUGAGGAGCGAAAGCGUGGUGAGCGAACAGGAUUAGAUACCCCUGUAGUCCCUGUCUCUUAUAC